rnacentral:rRNA from 1 species
GACGUAGGAGGCGAGCGUUAUCCGGAUUCACUGGGCGUAAAGCGCAUGUAGGCGGUUGCACAAGUCCGUUGUUAAAGCCCCUGGCUCAACUGGGGGAGGUCAAUGGAGACUGUGCGACUUGAGGGCAAUAGAGGCACGUGGAACUCCCGGUGUAGCGGUGGAAUGCGUAGAGAUCGGGAAGAACACCAGUGGCGAAGGCGACGUGCUGGGUUGCACCUGACGCUAAAACGCGACAGCAUGGGGAGCGAACGGG